CGUGUAGGCGGCCAGAUAGGUCAGCUGUGAAAACUCGAGGCUCAACCUCGAGAUGUCGGCUGAAACCAUCUGGCUAGAGUCCGGAAGAGGAGAAUGGAAUUCCCGGUGUAGCGGUGAAAUGCGCAGAUAUCGGGAAGAACACCCGUGGCGAAGGCGGUUCUCUGGGACGGUACUGACGCUGAGACGCGAAGCGUGGGAGCGAACA
rnacentral:rRNA from 1 species